AAAGGGUGGUUCCUAACGGAUCUUUGUCCUAUAUAUAUAUAUAUAUAUAUAGGACAAAGAUCCGUUAGGAACCACCCUU
rnacentral:pre_miRNA from 11 species